AUCGAGCUGACGAGUCCUAAAUGGGACGAAACGCGCGUCCUCCAU
rnacentral:hammerhead_ribozyme from 1 species